AAGCACAACUUAGUGUCUUGGUAACUUGUCUGUGGCCUUCCACGUCUCAUUCUUAUGCAAGAUCAAAUUCCAGUUUGUAGAAGGGCUGAGCUUUUACUUAUAGUUUGUCUCUUUCAAAGACUGGGGACAAUU